rnacentral:rRNA from 1 species
UGGUGACUAUAGCAAGGAGGUCACACCUGUUCCCAUGCCGAACACAGAAGUUAAGCUCCUUAGCGUCGAUGGUAGUCGAAAAAAAAUGGAUGCGAUGAGC